rnacentral:rRNA from 1 species
GCUCACUAGUCGAGGGUCCGGGCAUGGAUAAUAAUCGGGUAUAAGGCAGACACCGAAGGCGCGGGAUAGCAUUUAAGAAAGUAUCGGUAGGGGAGCAUACUCACAGCGUUGAAUGGUGUGCGUAAGUUAUCCUGGAGCGGUGAGUAAAGCAAAUGUAGGAAUAAGUAACGAUAAGGAGGGUUAGAUUCCCUCCCGCUGUAAGACCAAGGUUUCCCGGGCAAUGCCAAUCAGCCCGGGGUCAGUCGGGUCCUAAGUCUAAGCCGAACGGCGAUGGCGAUGGCAGAGACGGUUAAUAUUCCGUCACUGCCGCAUGGGGCGACGUGGAGACGGAGCAGUGAAACCACCGCGGGGCGACGGAAGUCCCCGUUGAAGAGUGUAGGCGUUGAGGAUGGCAGGCAAAUCCACCGUCCGAGCUGAACUUGAUAGUAUGGAGUCUUCUUCGGAAGAAUCCAAUAGUGUGGGUAAUCAUACUCCCGAGAAAAUCCGCUAAGCUUAACCCAUGCGGCACCCGUACCGCAAACGGACACACGUGGUCGGGUAGAACAUACUGAGGCGUUGAGAGAUUCAUGGUUAAGGAACUAGGCAAAUUGACCCUGUAACUUCGGGAUAAAGGGUCCUCGUGAAGAGCGAGGCGCAGAGAAUAGGUCCAGGCAACUGUUUAACAAAAACACAGGGCUGUGCAAACUCGAAAGAUGACGUAUACAGCCUGACACCUGCCCGGUGCCGGAAGGUUAAGAGGAGAUGUCACACUUAUGUGGAAGCAUUGAAUUGAAGCCCCGGUAAACGGCGGCCGUAACAAUAACGGUCCUAAGGUAGCGAAAUUCCUUGUCGGGUAAGUUCCGACCUGCACGAAUGGUGUAAUGAUUCGGACGCUGUCUCAACCAUGAGCUCAGUGAAAUUGUAGUAUCGGUGAAGAUGCCGAUUACCCGCGAUGGGACGAAAAGACCCCGUGAACCUUUACUACAGCUUAGCAUUGACCUUGGUCAUCCGAUGUGUAGGAUAGGCCGGAGGCUUCGAAGCGGGAGCGCCAGCUUUCGUGGAGCCAUCCUUGAAAUACGGCCCUUUGGCUGUCUGAGGUCUAACGCGCGAUGCGCGGACACUGCUUGGUGGGUAGUUUGACUGGGGUGGUCGCCUCCAAAAGCGUAACGGAGGCUUCCAAAGGUGCCCUCGGGUCGAUUGGUAACCGACCUCAAAGAGUGCAAUGGCAUAAGGGCGCUUGACUGGGAGGCAGACAUGCCGAGCAGGCAGGAAACUGGGGCAUAGUGAUCCGGCGGAUGUGUAUGGAAACUCCGUCGCUCAAAGGAUAAAAGGUACUCCGGGGAUAACAGGCUGAUCCCCCCCAAGAGCUCAUAUAGACGGGGUGGUUUGGCACCUCGAUGUCGGCUCGUCACAUCCUGGGGCUGGAGAAGGUCCCAAGGGUUGGGCUGUUCGCCCAUUAAAGUGGCACGCGAGCUGGGUUCAGAACGUCGUGAGACAGUUCGGUCUCUAUCUAUCGUGGGCGUGGGAGUUUUGCGUGGUGCCGUCACUAGUACGAGAGGACCGUGAUGGACAGACCUCCGGUUUACCAGUUGUGCCGCCAGGCGCACCGCUGGGUAUCUGAGUCUGGAUUGGAUAAGCGCUGAAAGCAUCUAAGUGCGAAGCCAGCCGCAAGAUGAGAACUCCAUUGAGGGUCGUCAGAGACGAUGACGUUGAUAGGAUGCAGGUGUAAAGACAGCGAUGUCAAAGCCGAGCAUUACUAAUUGCCU